rnacentral:rRNA from 1 species
AUUGAACGCUGGCGGCAGGCCUAACACAUGCAAGUCGAACGGUAGCACAGAGAGCUUGCUCUCGGGUGACGAGUGGCGGACGGGUGAGUAACGUCUGGGAAACUGCCCGAUGGAGGGGGAUAACUACCGGAAACGGUAGCUAAUACCGCAUAACGUCGCAAGACCAAAGUGGGGGACCUUCGGGCCUCACACCAUCGGAUGUACCCAGAUGGGAUUAGCUAGUAGGUGGGGUAAUGGCUCACCUAGGCGACGAUCCCUAGCUGGUCUGAGAGGAUGACCAGCCACACUGGAACUGAGACACGGUCCAGACUCCUACGGGAGGCAGCAGUGGGGAAUAUUGCACAAUGGGCGCAAGCCUGAUGCAGCCAUGCCGCGUGUAUGAAGAAGGCCUUCGGGUUGUAAAGUACUUUCAGCGGGGAGGAAGGCGGUGAAGUUAAUAGCUUCACCGAUUGACGUUACCCGCAGAAGAAGCACCGGCUAACUCCGUGCCAGCAGCCGCGGUAA